CCUAAUAAAUGCCAUGAUUACUUUAGCUUAAUUAUACAUUGAAACUUGAAACCCCUUUUGCCUAAGUUGAAAUGUAACCGACUUGUUAUCUUCUGGUUUUAAGUUAAGUCAUCUAUAUGCUGUGACAGGUCAAGUGGGAGCGAUUCAGUUGGGAAUCAGUAGGGCUUUGCAAAAUUUUGAGCCAGAGCUACGUCCUGCCCUCAGAGCUGCUGGGUUCUUGACAAGGGAUUCACGUGUGGUGGAAAGGAAAAAAUAGGGAAGGCGAAAGCAAGGAAGAGCUUCCAAUGGGUCAAGCGUUGAUCACUUGUUCAUGGUUUUUCAUGUUCCUCCAAAAAGGAGACAGACCUUUUUUUUUUCUUUUUUGUAUUUGAU